UACGUAGGGGGCUAGCGUUGUCCGGAAUCAUUGGGCGUAAAGAGCGUGUAGGCGGCCCGGUAAGUCCGCUGUGAAAGUCGGGGGCUCAACCCUCGGAUGCCGGUGGAUACUGUCGGGCUCGAGUACGGAAGAGGCGAGUGGAAUUCCUGGUGUAGCGGUGAAAUGCGCAGAUAUCAGGAGGAACACCGAUGGCGAAGGCAGGUCUCUGGGCUGACACUGACGCUCAUGCACGAAAGCGUGGGGAGCAAACAGG
rnacentral:rRNA from 1 species